rnacentral:lncRNA from 1 species
UGGAAAGCAACAAUAUAAGGACUUGAAGAAAGCAUGAGGAACCACCUGUGAAACGUUCAAGGUCUCUGUCCCCAAAGAGCUCUUUUAGAGAGUCAGAGGAACUAAAGAAGCUUAAAAUAGCUGAAAGGAAGAUUGAAAACUUAGAGAAGACACUACAGCUAAAGAGCUGUGAUCGCUGGAGUAGCCUAGAGGAGAUAAUCCUGGCUUUAACUGGAAAGGUCUCAAAACCAAGAGGAGCUCUUCCCUUUGAGUUUUCUCAUCUGUUUUAGGUUCUAAAUGUUUUGAAGGAGCAGAGCAAGUGAUAAGGGAAGGCAGUAACUGUAACAGAAUGGAUAAUAGAACAGGUAAGCAAUAAUGAAAAAUCCAGAUUCAUAAAUAGGAAAGGCCAAAUUCUACAGUUGGUUGCAUCUCUGAAAGGGCAUUGACACUAAUAAGCUUCUGAGGAUUUAUAUUAAAGACAUUGUUUUCUAGUACCCUGCCAGACUUGACCAGUUUUUGCUAGCAAUAUCAAAAAAUCUCAGAACAGUUGU